CCAAUAGCGUAUAUUAAAGUUGUUGCAGUUAAAAAGCUCGUAGUUGAAUUUCGGGAUCAAUCUAUCGGUCGUGCAAUAGUACGUACUGAUUUUAUUGAUUCCUCCCUUCUGAUGAACUAUGAUGUCAUUAAUUUGGUGUCAUAGGGAAUCAGGACUGUUACUUUGAAAAAAUUAGAGUGUUUAAAGCAGGCUCACGCUUGAAUACAUUAGCAUGGAAUAACGAAAUAGGACGUUUGAUUCUAUUUUGUUGGUUUCUAGGAUCGACGUAAUGAUUAAUAGGGAUAGUUGGGGGCAUUAGUAUUCAAUUGUCAGAGGUGAAAUUCUUGGAUUUAUUGAAGACUAACUACUGCGAAAGCAUUUGCCAAGGAUGUUUUCAUUAAUCAAGAACGAAAGUUAGGGGAUCGAAGACGAUCAGAUACCGUCGUAGUCUUAACCAUAAACUAUGCCGACUAGGGAUCGGAUGAUGUUAAUUUUUUAAUGACUCAUUCGGCGCCUUACG
rnacentral:rRNA from 1 species